UGAAGACGGUCGACCCAAGCGAAUUUCCGGUGCCAAACCCGUUCCGAAAGCCUACCCACCCUCAAUAUAUAACCUAUACAACCGAUAACAUACGAGUAGUCAGCGAAACGUCGCGGGCGAAUCGUUCAUUAGUCAUUACAUACACUGGCGCAACAGCAGGCACGAUGGCACGAUAUGACAAUUUUAUAAUAAUAAUAUACUUGUUUAUGUAAUCUCGUAAUAAUAAAUAUUAUAUAUAAUA